rnacentral:misc_RNA from 1 species
CGGAGGAGAACAUCUGCAGAAGAAGAAGAAAGAGUCAAGCACCCUAAACCUGAAGACUCCGUCUACUAUCAUCCUACACUGAAUCCUACUGGGGCCCCACCACCGGGAAAGCCUCCUAUGUAUAAGUCAUCCAUAGGGCCUCGGAUUCCCUUAUCUGCUGCUGCUUCAUCAAGCACUGCCGCAUCGUCCUCAAAUACAGAGUCGGAUGAUGGUACCUUAGCAGUGCUUCCCCCGCCACCUCCCCCACCUCCGCCUUUGCCAGAGAGCACUAACGUGGCCUCUGGUGAUAACUCUGUUAUACCUGCUUCUUUGCCUCUACCUCCACCUCCUCCCAUGCCACCAAAGCCUCCUGCACCAGGGUUGGGCAUGUCACUGCCUCCGCCUCCGCCUCCACCUCCACCUCCACCAGGCCCCCCACCAAAAGAUCAAGUUUCAAGUCACACCUUCCUACCACCGCCUUCUCCCCUCCAACAGUCUGCUCAGCCACCUCCACCUGGCACUAAUGAAAUUGAAAGGGAAAGAAAUUUAUCUACCUUGUCGGAUGAACCAUCAUCCAAAGAAACAAUUCAUGUGCCUACUGUACUCCCCCCACCACCUCCUCCUCCUAGUAUGCUGCUGAAGUCAGCCAUCAAUCAGUCUGAAGGCACCUCAUCUGAAGCUAAUGGUGAUAAUCCAACAGCAACUAAGGAUAACCUUAAAAUGGUUCCCCCACCACCUCCUCCACGGCAACCACCUCCUGUGGCUGGGCCAACUGUGAUUCCCACAUUACAGCCUGAUGUAUUGCCCCCAGGAAUAUCACAUUUGCCUGGACCCCCACCUCCACCAGGUAUGCGGGCACCAGGGGCUGCUACCGGACUUCCUGGCCAAGUGGCUCCUCCAGGAGUGAUGGUUCCACUAAUGCCAAGACCACCAUAUGGUCCUCCCCCUGGACCUCCUCCAAUGAUGAGACCACCACUUCCACCUGGUCCUCCUCCUACCUUACA